AUGCGCAUAACCUUAUCGGAUGGUGCGUAUCAAGUGAUUAAAUCGCCAUCGGGCGGCAAAAUGGAUGGUUCUACACAUCUUUAUCUUGGAAAAUCAAGCAAUGGGGUGUAUUGUGCUUUGAUUUAUCAUAAUGUUCAACACCAGCUUCAGGUUUGGUUUCUAGAUGAAUCUUGUGGUAGAAUGGAGUGGGAGUUGAAGAAUGAUAUCAAAUUUGCGCCGGUGAUGGCAAAAAUUUCUUUGGUCAAGUAUAAGGAUGGAUUUCCCAACAAAAAAAAGCACAAGGAUCAAAACCUAAGACCUUGGAUCUUUCUGAGAGGUAAUUGUCUUGAUGAAGAUGUUAAGGAAGGACUAAUGGAAGAUAGCGCUGAAUGGGACUACAGCAAGGGUUUUAUCCUUGAGACUCGAGAUCUUAAGGUUAAUUGUGACCACAUGCAUUUUGAAGAUGUCUAUUUCCUUGGAUUUCAUCCAUAUAAAGAGAUUGUCUUCUUGUGGAUGUCACGAGACACAUCAGUUGCUUAUGAUUUUAGUAGCUCUAAAGUACAGUACUUGGGCAAGUUACCCGCGCAUUGGAUGGGAAAGUCAUUUCCAUACACACCAUGUUGGAUAGGAGAGUUAUCUGAAAAAUAA
rnacentral:rRNA from 1 species